GUCCAGUCAUUACACCCCCUGGACGUUACACCCCUGGUCAUUACACCCACCAAGCCUGGUCAUUACACCCACCAAGCCUGGACAUUACACCCACCAAGAUGAAUCAGCAGGAAAGAGUAUAAGCAGGCUGUAGAACAAGGGCUUGACAUUCCUUUCAAGUGUCUCCCCUGUCUUCUGCAAGAACAAAAUGUUAUUAAUGAUGCAUCACGAGACGACACUCAGGAAAUGGAGCCCAUGGACGUCCAACUACAUGAUGACCUUGAACCUGAGCCUUCACUUGUUGAUCUGAAUGAGUCUCUUGAUGAUGCCAAUCCACGGAGCGUCCCCCAAAAGCACUGGAGGCUGAGUUGGACAUUGACCAGCUGGUUGAUAAUAGUGUUGGCAGACGGCAAAGAAACCAGUAUAGGGAAUGUGACAGGAAGAUUUUUUAUGCCUGGAGAAAGUAUGAGGCCAAAGACUCUUGAGAUUAGUGAGUAGGUUGUACGGUGCGGCUGAAUAUAAAGUAUAGAAAUUGUCUAGAAUUGUGAAAUCUCACUAGUAGGAAGUGUAUAUACUGUUUAAAGUGAAAUGGGAUUUCUUGGCAAUAUUAUUUUAGUUUUGUUAUUUCUGUCUGUAUAUUCCUGAAAAAAAGUAUUAAUGAUUUAGAUGCAUAUUAUUACAUUUUGGUGAAAUAAAAAGAAAUGUAUAAAUUUAAGAUUGUGUUUUGUUUAUUCUUAAUAUUUUUUUUAUUUAUCAUUUUUUGAAAUUUAUUUUCAAAGUUUUUUCUGUCUGAUUAUUCUUGAAAAAAAUAUCAUGAUUUAGAUGCAUAUUAUAACAUUAUGGUAAAAUAAAAAUAAAUGUAUAUGAAUUAAGAUUGUGUUUUGUUUAUUCUAAAUAAUUAUUGUAUUUAUCAUUAUUUUAUUUUGUUUUCAAAGUUUUUUCUGUCUGUAUAUUCUUGAAAAAAUUAUUUAUGAUGUAGAUGCAUAUUAUUACAUUAUGGUGAAAUAAAAAUAAAUGUAUAUGAAUUAAGAUUGUGUUUUGUUUAUUCUAAAUAUUUAUUUUAUUUAUCUUUAUUUUUAUUUCUUGAAGUUUUUUCUGUCUGUAUAUUCUUGAAAAAAAGUAUUUAUUAUUUAGAUGCAUAUUGUUACAGUCAUUAAAUAAUUUGAGCAACCAUUAAUCUCAUCAG